rnacentral:lncRNA from 1 species
GUCCCAGGAGGGAUUUUGGGGGUCCCAGGAUGAAUUUUGGGGUCCCAGGAGGGAUUUUAAAGCCUUGGGUUGAAUUCUGGUCUCUUUCCCACCCCCCAAAAUCCCCGAUUCCCCCCCAAAUCCAGGCGUGGAUUUUGGCUACGAGGGCCAGGAGCUGCUGUUCCGCAACCUGGAUUUUGGGAUCGACAUGGAAUCCCGAGGUGGGACCCCCAAAACCCCCCAAAAUCCCCCCAAAAUCCCCCCGGGGGGGUCGGGGGGACCCCGCCCUGACCUGGGGACCCCCCGAUUUCCCCCCGAAAUCGUCAGUUUGCAUCGUGGGCCCCAACGGGGUGGGGAAGAGCACCCUGCUGCAGCUGCUGACCGGGGCCCUGACGCCGCUCCGGGGGCAGAUGAGGCGGAACCAUCGCCUGGUAAAGGGGGCGGGGCCAGAGGGGGCGGGGCAUCAAGGGGGCGUGGUCAGGGAGCAUGGCCACUGUGUUAGAUUAAUAAAAGGGGUGGGGCCUAAAUGGGUGUGGUCAAUGGNNNNNNNNNNNNNNNNNNNNAGGACCCCAAAAAUGGGGAGAGGAGACCAAAAAUGGGGAAAGGGACCCCGAAAAUGGGGAGAAGACACCAAAAAUGGGGAAAGGGACCCCGAAAAUGGGGAGAGGGACCCCGAAAACAGGGAGGGGACCCUGAAAAUGGGGAGAGUGACCCAAAAAAAUGGGGAAAAGACACCAAAAAUGGGGAAAGAAGACCAAAUAUGGGGGGAGGGACCCCGAAAAUGGGGAGAGGGACCCCGAAAAUCGGGGAGGGACCCCAAAAAUGGGGAGAGGGACCCUGAAAAUGGGAAAGGGACCCCGAAAAUGGGGAGAGGGACCCCGAAAACGGGGAGAGAGACCCUGAAAAUGGGGAGGGGACCCCGAAAAUGGGGAAAAGACAUCAAAAAUGGGGAGAGGGACCCCGAAAAUGGGGAGGGGACCCCGAAAAAUGGGGAAAAGACACCAAAAAUGGGGAAAAGACACCAAAAAUGGGGAAAAGACAUCAAAAAUGGGGGGAGGACCCCAAAAAUGGGGAGAGGAGACCAAAAAUGGGGAAAGGGACCCCGAAAAUGGGGAGAAGACACCAAAAAUGGGGAAAGGGACCCCGAAAAUGGGGAGAGGGACCCCGAAAACAGGGAGGGGACCCUGAAAAUGGGGAGAGUGACCCAAAAAAAUGGGGAAAAGACACCAAAAAUGGGGAAAGAAGACCAAAUAUGGGGGGAGGGACCCCGAAAAUGGGGAGAGGGACCCCGAAAAUCGGGGAGGGACCCCAAAAAUGGGGAGAGGGACCCUGAAAAUGGGAAAGAGACCCUGAAAAUGGGGGGAGGAGCCCAAAAAUGGGGAGAGGGACCCCAAAAAUGGGAAAAAAUCUGGAAUAUUGGGAGAGAAAAAUCCCCCCAAAAAUUCGGGGAGGGGAAAUCCCCAAAAACGGAUCCGAAACGGCCCCAAAAUCCUCCAAAAUGAGGGGGAGGGACCCCAAAAAAAGAGAGAAAAUUUUGGAUCGUUGGGGGAGGGGAAAAUCCCCCCAAAAACUGGGGAAGAAAUUCCCGAAAAUCGGGAGGGAGGAGCCUCAGAUUUUGGGGUGGAAAAGCCCAAAAAAGGUGAAAAAUUCCCGAAAAACGGGAGGGGAAAAAAUUCCCAAAAAACCCCAAAACCCCAAAAUUGGGGAUUUUUAACCCUUUGCCCCCCGGUUUCUCCGCAGCUCCGGGGGCAGAUGAGGCGG